GCCAGCAUGGUACAGUGGUUUGAACGCUGGGCUACAAUUCUGGAGACCAGGGUUUGAUUCCCCGCUCGGCCA